GAAGGAAGCCACAUAACUGAUCUUUUGGGUUCUUCAUUACAGUGACUGAGGUACCAGUACUGCAUCAGUGAUGGAGCAGGGUCUGUUCCAACUCCUGUUACUUGCAGGAUUUGUCUCUUUGGCCCCAUCUGUGGAGCGUAAGUAUUAUCUGAUUCAGCAGGAGACAACAUGGACCAAUGCACAAACUUACUGCCGAGCCAAAUAUGUUGACCUGGCUACCAUUGAUGGUGAUGAUGACAUGAGAAACCUUCAGAAAGAAGCAGAAGA